rnacentral:tRNA from 1 species
AUUAGGGUGGCAGAGCCAGGUUCUAUGCAUAAGACCUAAGCCCUUACUACCAAAGUUCAAAUCUUUUCCCUAAUA